ACCUGGCUCACACCGGUUUAAACUCAGAUCAUGUAAAAUUUUAAAGGUCGAACAGACCUAAUUUAUUAGCUUCUCCACCAACAAUUAAUUUUAAUCCAACAUCGAGGUCGCAAUCUUUUAUUUCGAUUAGAACUCUAAAAAAAAUUACGCUGUUAUCCCUAAGGUAAUUCAUUCUUAUAAUCUAUACUCUAGGAUCAUAAAUUCAUAAAUUAAUGGUUUUAUUAAAAAAAAGUUAAUUAAAUUUUUUCAUCACCCCAACAAAAUAUUUUUUUAGCUAAUUUAAUAAUUUUAUCCAUAAUUUCAAUUAACUUUAAAAUAUAAAACUCUAUAGGGUCUUCUCGUCUUCUAUAAACAUUUAAGCUUUUUAACUUAAAAAUAAAAUUCUAAUAAAUUUUUAUAGAGACAGAAACUUUUUCAUCAAACCUUUCAUUCCAGCUUUCAAUUAAAAAACUAAUGAUUAUGCUACCUUUGCACGGUUAAUAUACCGCGGCCAUUAAACUUCUCAUUGGGCAGGUCAGACCUAAAAUUAUAAUCAAUAGGCC
rnacentral:rRNA from 1 species